GGGGCCGUGGCGCAGAGGCAGCGCAUCCCGUUCGCAACGGGAAGGUCGCGGGUUCGAAUCCCGCCGGCUCCACCA
rnacentral:tRNA from 1 species